rnacentral:rRNA from 1 species
UACGAAGGGGGCUAGCGUUGUUCGGAAUCACUGGGCGUAAAGGGCGCGUAGGCGGCCGAUCAAGUCGGGGGUGAAAGCCUGUGGCUCAACCACAGAAUUGCCUUCGAUACUGGUUGGCUUGAGACCGGAAGAGGUAAGUGGAACUGCGAGUGUAGAGGUGAAAUUCGUAGAUAUUCGGAAGAACACCAGUGGCGAAGGCGGCUCACUGGACCGGUAUUGACGCUGAGGUGCGAAAGCGUGGGGAGCAAACAGG